GAUGAACGCUAGCUACAGGCUUAACACAUGCAAGUCGAGGGGAAACGACAUCGAAAGCUUGCUUUUGAUGGGCGUCGACCGGCGCACGGGUGAGUAACGCGUAUCCAACCUGCCCAUCACUUGGGAAUAACCUUGCGAAAGUAAGACUAAUACCCAAUGACAUCCCACGAAGACAUCUGAAUGGGAUUAAAGAUUUAUCGGUGACGGAUGGGGAUGCGUCUGAUUAGCUUGUUGGCGGGGUAACGGCCCACCAAGGCAACGAUCAGUAGGGGUUCUGAGAGGAAGGUCCCCCACAUUGGAACUGAGACACGGUCCAAACUCCUACGGGAGGCAGCAGUGAGGAAUAUUGGUCAAUGGGCGAGAGCCUGAACCAGCCAAGUAGCGUGCAGGAUGACGGCCCUAUGGGUUGUAAACUGCUUUUAUAAGGGAAUAAAGUGGGUCUCGUGAGACUUUUUGCAUGUACCUUAUGAAUAAGGACCGGCUAAUUCCGUG
rnacentral:rRNA from 1 species